CGGUACAUCGGUGACAGGUGGUGCAUGGUUGUCGUCAGCUCGUGUCGUGAGAUGUUGGGUUAAGUCCCGCAACGAGCGCAACCCCUAUUGUUAGUUGCCAUCAUUCAGUUGGGCACUCUAGCGAGACUGCCGGUAAUAAACCGGAGGAAGGUGGGAUGACGUCAAAUCAUCAUGCCCCUUAUGACCUGGGCUACACACGUGCUACAAUGGUUGGUACAACGAGUUGCGAGUCGGUGACGGCGAGCUAAUCUCUUAAAGCCAAUCUCAGUUCGGAUUGUAGGCUGCAACUCGCCUACAUGAAGUCGGAAUCGCUAGUAAUCGCGGAUCAGCACGCCGCGGUCGAAUACGUUCCGGCCUU
rnacentral:rRNA from 1 species